UGGGGAAUAUUGGACAAUGGGCGAAAGCCUGAUCCAGCGACGCCGCGUGGGUGAAGAAGGCCUGCGGGUUGUAAAGCCCUUUCAGUGGGGAAGAAAAGCCUCGAGUUAAUACCUCGGGGUCUUGACGUAACCCAUAGAAGAAGCACCGGCUAACUCUGUGCCAGCAGCCGCGGUAAUACAGAGGGUGCGAGCGUUAAUCGGAAUUACUGGGCGUAAAGCGCGCGUAGGCGGUUUUGCAAGUCGGAUGUGAAAUCCCCGGGCUUAACCUGGGAACUGCAUUCGAGACUGCAUUGCUAGAGUAUGGGAGAGGGAAGUGGAAUUUCAGGUGUAGCGGUGAAAUGCGUAGAUAUCUGAAGGAACAUCAGUGGCGAAAGCGACUUCCUGGACCAAUACUGACGCUCAUGUGCGAAAGCGUGGGGAGCAAACAGG
rnacentral:rRNA from 1 species